GAUGUCUGUAACCAAUAAUGUAGC
rnacentral:piRNA from 1 species